GUCCUAAAACCCAGAAAUUAGUUAGCAUUUUUGCACUACCGGUUCCCUUGUCUCAAAGUUUGUUUGAAUGGGUUUUCGGUUAGAUGCCUUAAACAUGCUUCCCUAAUGGGCUCUCAUCAUCUUCACUGUCAGAGGGGACCUUGAUCCUCUUGGUGACCACCUCACCUUUCAACAGGGCAAAUGACUCUUGAAAGAACUCCAGAUAUGCUUCAUUCCCUUGGACCAUGACCUUUCCUUUGGUGUAGUAUGUGGUGGUAAGCAGAGGGUCAUCCUUGUCAAGGUGUUCAUCUUUACAUAUCUUUUAAUCUGCCUCCUGAGCCAAUGCCCUCGUUCGAUACAUAUGCAUAAUUGCUGCACAGAGUAUCUUUCCAGAUGUAGAUGGAAUCAGUGAAGAAUAUGAGGUUGUUCUUCUUCCUUCCUUUUUGUUGGGCGUAGUCAGUGAAGAGGACCUCUGAGUUUUCACAGAGUGUCUUCUUCUUGUGUUUGUGCCUGGCUGUUCCACUUUUACAUUUAGCAGAGUACUGAAUCUCCUUGCUCUCUACUCUGAGAGCUGUGCUGUGCUGCCUUCUGAUCGGUUUCCAUGGCGACGACAUGUUUACUCCAAAGGGAGCUAGGCUAACUAUUUACUUUGCUAGCUUUUCUAGCCUGCAAACACUGGCAAAAAACUUAACUAUGUACAAUUUACCAGAUAUGUUAAUGUUACCAACAAGGAUCCUUUAAUGUGUCUUCUUGUCUUCAUAAGGUUCUUCUGUUAGCUUCUUCAGUGCAGUUUCUCCUUUGGAAAGUUGGUAGCAGUUAGCUAGUUGCUAGCUAGCUUGACUGUUAGCCAGUUGUUUUGAUUUAAAAAAAAUAUACAAAGAUGAUAUUUCCUCUUCUGUUCUUGAGUCCUUUCUGAAGAUUAUUUGAAGGUAAUUUUGCGAAAUGUCCCACUUUUUUAGGUCCACGUUUAAGAUGUAUUCAGGAGCUAAUCUUUGGUGCAGCUACUCUCAUGGAGUUUUUCAACCUCACCUGUCAAACAGUGACCACAUAUUUUGUUUUCUUUUGGUUGCUCGGAUUUUUUGUGUCUCUCUCUCUCUCGCAAACAAAUUAACAAACCAAUGAAGCUGACUGGAGCAGUUUGACCAGUCUGAUCGCCGGAUUGGCCACCACAGCAUGACGUCGGGUUGCAUUUUUCCAAAAGUUGAGUCUGUUUAAACUUUUCCACCCCCACCGCUGCAGAAUCAACGCACGGGACUGGUAUUUUCACCUGAGCCUGUCUGAAUCCAGCCUUCACUCACUCAUCUUGGAGGCCCGGGACAGAAAAGAGGGAUCUCAACAAAGUACAACAAAGAUCUUCUCCUCCACCGCUGUUCAUCCAGCUGGAUGUUUUGAGGACGAGCUGAUAAAGUUAACAGCAGCACUGCCUUGUGGACAGAUGGCUGUACUGCAAGCUGCCCUGCAGGUACGUUCACAUAUUGAACACUGAAUCAGCUCAGACACAGACCUGCUUCAAAAUAUACUGCUGAAAAUCCUUAAAUAAUUUUGGGCUGUUGUCAUCACAACCUCAUGGUUUUUAUAGCUGCAUUAAUAGGUUACUAAUCAAUCUCAAAACCAAUACUCAAUAUUUUGUAGUGUGUGAUAUAAUGCCAUGCAUUGGUAACAUUCAAGUGAUUUCAUAAAGCCAAAGAUAUUUCACUUGUUUAUCAGUCAUUUGUCUUUUAUAUUCAUCCUGUUCCAUUUACACCAAUCGUACACUGAGCUCUCAAGGAAAAUAAGGAGUUAGA